GGUCCUGUGGCCUAGUGGUCAUGGCAUCUGCCCGGUAAGCGGAAGGUCGUGGGUUCGAUUCCCAUCCCUUGACACU